UGUUUUUUAGCCCUAAAGUAAUUUGAAAAUUACUGAGAUCUCAUUGCUUGUAAUAAUAAUGAUUCAUCACAAAUUAGUCCACUUGAAAGAAGUUUUAGAUAUACAUGAUUUUUGAUUUAAAUAGAUGAAAAAAACUGUGCUUUGAACAAACCUGUAUGGAACUAAAUAUGGUUGCUUUUCUAAGUGUCAGGGCUCAGCGAGCAGAGCCGGGCAGUUUCUGCCGGCCCUGCUCUCUCCCUCCCCUUUUUUCGACAGGUGACGGCAGUUGACUGGUGGGCGGGGCGCGCACACCUGCAGCGUGUUCUGCAGCACUAUAAGAUCUGCGCUCGGACAGCGGGAGGACGCCGGAAUAUUAACCGUUGUUGGUUCGCUCUCGUGUCCCGAGGCUUGAGCCUAACUGAACUCACCUGCUCACGACUCCCAUCGGAUCAGUCCGGUUCCUUCCGCUGCCUGUGUUUUCGCCAGAGCUGCUCGGACCUUGUCUCACGCCUACGCCCCCCGAUCAUCUGUCCGCACCACUCCAUCUGGAGCUGAGUCCGUUGCGCUUCCCCCUCCGGUCCGACUUCCGAACCUAAGUGAUCGUUCGUGCUCCGUCCGAGUCUCUCUCCCCGUGAUCGCUCCAUUGUGAGCCCUUUUUCGUGAUUACUUCCCCGAACAUUUUCCCUGUUAUUGUCAAUAAACUCCGUAAAACUA